rnacentral:rRNA from 1 species
UACGGAGGGGGCUAGCGUUGUCCGAAGUUACUGGGCGUAAAGCGCGCGUAGGCGGGUUGGUAAGUCCGCUGUGAAAGCCCGGAGCUCAACUCCGGAGGGUCGGUGGAUACUGCCAGUCUUGAAGGUGCUAGGGGGAGAUGGAAUUACCGGUGUAGCGGUGAAAUGCGUAGAUAUCAGGAGGAACACCUGUGGUGUAGACAGCUUACUGGACCAUUUCUGACGCUGAGACACGAAAGCGUGGGUAGCAAACAGG